UGGGACAGGGUGGGCUGCAGAUAGCUUC
rnacentral:piRNA from 1 species